UCCCUCUUAGCUCAGUGGUAGAGCGCUUCACUAGUAUGUUAUGAGAAUUUUUCUCUAUAUACUAUGAAGAGGUCAGUCGUUCAAGUCGGCUAGAGGGAA